AUUGAACGCUGGCGGCAGGCCUAACACAUGCAAGUCGAACGAGUGGCGGACGGGUGAGUAAUGUCUGGGAAACUGCCUGAUGGAGGGGGCUAACUACUGGAAACGGUAGCUAAUACCGCAUACCAUUGUAUGUGCCCAGAUGGGAUGAGCUAGUAGGUGGGGUAAAGGCUAACCUAGGCGACGAUCCCUAGCUGGUCUGAGAGGAUGACCGGCCACACUGGAACUGAGACACGGUCCAGACUCCUACGUGAGGCAGCAGGGGGGAAUCUUGCGCAAUGGGCGCAAGCCGGAUGGAGCCAUGCCGCGGGUGUGAAGAAGGCCUUCGGAUUGUAAAGUUCUUUCAGCGUGGAGGCGUUACCCGCAGAAGAAGCACCGGCUAACUCCGUGCCAGCAGCCGCGGUAAUUC
rnacentral:rRNA from 1 species